GGGGAAUAUUGCACAAUGGGGGAAACCCUGAUGCAGCGACGCCGCGUGAGUGAAGAAGUAUUUCGGUAUGUAAAGCUCUAUCAGCAGGGAAGAAAAUGACGGUACCUGACUAAGAAGCCCCGGCUAACUACGUGCCAGCAGCCGCGGUAAUACGUAGGGGGCAAGCGUUAUCCGGAUUUACUGGGUGUAAAGGGAGCGUAGACGGUUAAGCAAGUCAGAAGUGAAAGGCUGGGGCUCAACCCCGGGACUGCUUUUGAAACUGUUUAACUAGAGUGCUGGAGAGGUAAGCGGAAUUCCUAGUGUAGCGGUGAAAUGCGUAGAUAUUAGGAGGAACACCAGUGGCGAAGGCGGCUUACUGGACAGUAACUGACGUUGAGGCUCGAAAGCGUGGGGAGCAAAC
rnacentral:rRNA from 1 species